rnacentral:rRNA from 1 species
AUGGCGUCCGCCGCUCCACCCGCUUUCCUCCCCCAGCUAGUUCAGCUGGUACAGCCUGUGUCGGUCCUGCCCGACCAGCUCAUGAGGCAGGCGGCGGAGAGAUCGCCGCCACCUCAGAGGGAAGGCUGCAGCGGGGCGAUCGGCCCCACGCGGCAGCCACCUAGCGCGCCGGCGGAGAGCACCGGCGGCGAAGUCAUGGUCCUUAACGACGCUUCUUCCCUGGCCCCGCAGCUGAGGCCGACGCCUCCCGGGGAAGGCGCCGGCGGGAGGAUCCAUCGUCAGCUUGCCGGACCCAAGCGUCCUGGCCCACCGAGAGAAGGCCGCGGUGGCGGCGGCGGCGUGAUCCAUGCCUUUUCUUCUUGA